rnacentral:rRNA from 1 species
ACGGAGGGUGCGAGCGUUAAUCGGAAUCACUGGGCGUAAAGCGCACGUAGGCGGUGUCGUAAGUCGUAUGUGAAAGCCCUCGGCUCAACCGGGGAACGGCAUUCGAUACUGCGACGCUGGAGUGCCGGAGGGGAGGGCGGAAUUCCAGGUGUAGGGGUGAAAUCCGCAGAUAUCUGGAGGAACACCGAUGGCGAAGGCGGCCACCCAAGCCGUAACUGACGCUGAAGUGCGAAAGUGUGGGUAUCAAACAG